rnacentral:rRNA from 1 species
UACGUAGGGUGCAAGCGUUGUCCGGAAUUAUUGGGCGUAAAGAGCUCGUAGGCGGUUUGUUGCGUCGGCUGUGAAAUCCCGAGGCUCAACCUCGGGUCUGCAGUCGAUACGAGCAAACUAGAGUGUUGCAGGGGAGACUGGAAUUCCUGGUGUAGCGGUGAAAUGCGCAGAUAUCAGGAGGAACACCGGUGGCGAAGGCGGGUCUCUGGGCCGAUACUGACGCUGAGGAGCGAAAGCGUGGGGAGCGAACGGG